GGAUAACCCAUCGAGGGCACUCGAGUAACUUCUAGUGUAUGAAAAUCGCUUGUACGCAGAACAGAACCCUCUGAGAGUGAUCCUGAGUGGAAAGAUUCAUCAUCAACCUUGGAUCUUACAAUCUGGUACUCAAGCGUCAUCCAAUUCUCAAUCCGAACGGCUUCAUCCCGAGGAGCAAAAACACUAACUGUCUUGUUGUAGAAUUUCACCAUGUUUCUGCCAUAGCCACACCGUUCACUGAACGAUGCUCUAUAAGGUAUUACAUUAACCAAAUUUCUCUGGAGAAUUAAGGACAUGAUUUUAUAGCCUGCAUUCCACAAGGCAUUUGCUA
rnacentral:misc_RNA from 1 species